rnacentral:rRNA from 1 species
UACGUAGGGGGCAAGCGUUGUCCGGAUUUACUGGGCGUAAAGAGCGUGUAGGCGGCCAUACAGGUCCGUUGUGAAAACUGGAGGCUUAACCUCCAGACGUCGAUGGAAACCGUAUGGCUAGAGUCCGGAAGAGGAGAGUGGAAUUCCUGGUGUAGCGGUGAAAUGCGCAGAUAUCAGGAGGAACACCAAUUGCGAAGGCAGCUCGCUGGGACGUUACUGACGCUGAGACGCGAAAGCGUGGGGAGCAAACAGG